UACGUAGGUGGCGAGCGUUGUCCGGAUUUACUGGGCGUAAAGAGCGCGCAGGCGGUCGUGCAAGUCGGACGUGAAAUCCCACGGCUCAACCGUGGAAGUGCAUUCGAAACUGCGAGGCUGGAGUCCUGGAGAGGAAAGUGGAAUACUCGGUGUAGAGGUGAAAUUCGUAGAUAUCGAGUGGAACACCGGUGGCGAAGGCGGCUUUCUGGACAGGUACUGACGCUGAGACGCGAAAGCGUGGGGAGCAAACGGG
rnacentral:rRNA from 1 species